UACGGAGGGUCCGAGCGUUAUCCGGAAUCAUUGGGUUAAAGGGUCCGUAGGCGGCCCUGUAAGUCAGUGGUGAAAUCUCCCGGCUCAACCGGGAAAUUGCCAUUGAUACUGCAGGGCUUGAAUUAUUGGGAAGUAACUAGAAUAUGUAGUGUAGCGGUGAAAUGCUUAGAUAUUACAUGGAAUACCGAUUGCGAAGGCAGGUUACUACCGGGUGGAUUGACGCUGAUGGACGAAAGCGUGGGUAGCGAACAGG
rnacentral:rRNA from 1 species